GGAUACGAAAACUAUUUUGAUAUAUGUGUUUUACAAAAUCUAACAAACGAUUUUGACUACACAAACAACGAUUACUUCUUCACGGUUUCAGGGUGUGUUCUUCCGGACUUAUCAGCUCCGUUAAAGGGUUUUCAUAAAAUUUAGGGUGGUGUUGGGGUGUUGUGAGUUUGAACCUUAUUUAGGUCAAUAUUAAAAUCAAAAAGAGAUAUAGACUGCAAAUUAUGCAUACGGAGUGUCUACUGAUGCACAUGUCAAUGUGGUCGUGUCAGAUUCGUGAUUGAUUGGUUGAGAUUAUUGGUACUUUGAGAUUUGGGGGUUUUCAAAAGCUGCUUAAUAGAAAGCAUCAAUCGAAAAACUCAUCAUACCCACAGCUCGGAGGUGGGUGACAUGAGAACUCUCUUCUGAUCUUACUAGCUGGAAAGUAUCUCUGCACACAUCGCACACUUCUUCGUUCCAGUUUAGUCAUCACUAGUUCCAAUAAAGGAUUGCCUUAUUGUAGGGGUGAGCUUACCUUGUCUAUAGUUGCAGUUGAUUAUCAGGGCCCAAGUUUAUCUGGCUCAAGUCAUAUACUGUGCGUGUCUGAGCCAAACGGGAAACUUUUGAGUUUGGCGUUGGCGCUUCGAGCAAAAUGGAAUUCCUCUGGUUCUAGAAUGUUUAUCUAACGCUGUCGGAAAUACUGUGAAUAAUGCACUGGGAGCCGUGUAUUAUCUUUGUAACUAUGUGAAUAAGUAAGAGAUCUUAAGCCUGAAGUCGCUGGGGGUAAAGCAUGUUGAGUAGGCACGUGUUUUGCGGUAAAGCGGCAGACUAGCAGGUGAACAUUGAAGAGGGAGAGGUUGAGUUCAAGUAAGUCAAAGCGGCUGGCCCACUGUUCACUGUUUUGAAGCUGUUCCUUUGUCUUCUGAAGCUUUUUGAACCACAAGGUAUCUUGCUCUUUUGAGUAACAAGAAUUUCUGAAUUAAUGUUGGACGGAGUUGUGUUAGAGAAGUUAAGAAAUUCUUGCUAUCUAUCAUCUAUGUUUGUACUUUGAGGGUCAUCAUAUUCGUCCUCCUCCACCUGAUUUAGGUCUAAAGAGCAUACCCAGUGGUGUUUUUUUUUUUGUUUUUGGAAAGUCCAAUAAAGAAAAACAAAGUUUGUGAUA